rnacentral:lncRNA from 1 species
GGGGUAAUAGCUGAUAUGUAUUGUUGUUUCCAAGUUAUGGACCUUAUAAAUUAUUUUCCCCUGCUUUUGUUUGAAGAUUGUGGAGGUUGUUUCUCGUUUAUUGAAUGGCUGAGAUGUCUAAAAACUUAUUUAUUUGUUAUUUUCAGUGGUUAAAAGGCUGAUAUUGUGUUCAUCUCUGAUGCAGGAUAUCGUGGGGGUUGGACGGAUCUCUUUGUACCCAUUCUUUCAUUUUUUGUUUUGGAACAUUAUUGAUCUAGAGAGAUUUUGCAGAGCGCUGGGUUGAUUUUAGUUGAAGGGCUUAGAUUGGCCCUAGAUCAUAUUUACAUGUACACAUUGAAUACAUUCCCUUGCAUAUAUUAGAAGCUAUUUUUGGUCGUCAUUCUUGAUUGGUUUUAUAAGAUGAAUGAUUUUUAGAAUUUUAGGUAGUGCCAUAGGGGUGAUUCAACAAUUAAUUUUAAUCACACAUUUCAAGGGACCUACGACUUUUCAACCAAUCAUUCCAUCAACUUCGAUUAAAAUUUACCAAAAAUCUAAUUUUAAUUCCCACCAAACAGGGGCUAAUUUUAUGUUGUAAAUCAUUGGAAAUUUUGGUAGGAUGUGAGCAUUGUGGAAACGGGGCCGACUUUGCCAUGUCUCCUGGUCACAAGGAGCUUUACUACAAAGUUUCUCUUUCAUUGGGAUGGCUAAUAAUGGAAAUGCAUGGAUUGACUUCAACUGUGAAUCCAGCAGCCAUGUAAAUAUGAGGUUUUGAGUUGGUAGACCACAUUGGUCAUUGCGUUUGUUUUAUAAUUCUAGUUCCUUUUAUACAGUGGAGGACAAAUUCGAAUUUGUUUCUUAAUGGUGUAACUUUCUAUGGUUAUAUUAUCUUACAUGUAAGUACUGGGAGAAAGUUACAAAUUUAUGCAGGGUUUGUUGAUUUGAAUGUAUGCCUAUGGGCAGUUGAGGGAGCUUGUAUGUUCUUUGACACAAUUUAUUGAAAUGAACAAUGGCUUCUUGCAGGAGUCAUUUUUUCUGGGCACUAGCCAUUUUGCUUAGAUUAGGUCCACUUCAAACUGCAAAAUUGUCUAGGUAUGCCAAAUGCCUUUACCGAAGGUAACUGAUAUGAUGAUCGUGUGAGUUGGCUACUUGAAGUUCAUCGUAUCCUGUCAACAUUUCUUGAGAGAGAAGACAAUGCUCAAGGCAAGUUUACAUGCAACUCAAAAGAGACUCAAAAAUUUCUUAAACGUUUGAAAGAGUCUAGGUUGAUUGAUUACUUAUGAACAUUUGAAAUAGAUUUAGAUUUUACGAGGUGGAAGUGUGUAGUUGUGUAUUAUUGAAAAGCAGCAUUUAAAUUUCUGUCUUCUAUGAAUGACUUUUAUCUCCUAAGUGGCACACGUUCUGGGGAACAACUUAAGAACAAAGAAGUUUUUCUUCUUGAUGAAUUUGCUUCGGACAUGUUUUCAUGAUUUUUACCCAAAGAAACUUUAUUUUGUCUCUUAUAGGGAUUUUGAAUCCAAUGGCCGUUGAUGCAAGAGAAAGCUCAUCUCUGAAUCUUGUGCGGAUACAACUGUUUGCAGUUCUUCCAAGAUGCGUCUCUGCACAUUUUCUGUGUCUACCAGAUAUGGGUUCUGAUCUCUUCAUUAAAAUAUUUCCUUCAAUACUAUUUUGCUUAUCGCUUUCUGUCAAGUCCAAUUCUAUCUGAAAAAGAAUGAAAUUUGUCAUUCAUGUCUAUGCAACUAAUCGUUUUCCAUUUUCCCUGGCAUUUGGUGCCAGGCUGAAAUUUUUUUCAGUUACUCCACUCUGCUCGUUCCAUUGUUGCUCAUUGUAGUAUAUUUUCGUCUCUCAAUGCCAAAACAACAUAAAAAAUGAUUAUGUUUUGGUAUUUACACAGAUAUUCCAACUACGAAAAAAUAAAGGGGGUAUUGCUUUGUUCAUAUAAUCUGUUUCUAAUUAUGAUGAUGAUACCAAAUUUUUCUUUCUAAUUGUAAAUACCUCCCUGUAUAGCAAAGUGGCCAAAUUCUGGAAAAUGCUUGUAACGAGGACUAGAAUUGAAAGAGAAGAGGAGACGGGAAAGAGGAAGAAUGACGGAGCAGUUAAAGAGGGAGAAAUUGUAGUUUAUUGAAUAUUAAAGUGGGUUACAAUCAAAGGCCUAUCCAUACUUAUAGUGGGACUUCUAGUAGAUGAGGAAAACUAUUAAACAAAUAGAAGGAAAUAAAAGAUAAUCUCUCGACAUAAAAUAUAAAUUCUCUUCCUAAAGUAAGUGUCUUAGAUUGGUAAGUCAUCAAGGGAAUAUCCAAGAUAAAGACCAUUUGAAGAGGAGAGUGGAAUCUCGAUGAAAUGAGGAUAUGCUCAAGCUGCCCAUUUCUUGAGAGGGUAAACUGCACGAACUUUUCUUUCACUCUUCAUCCCCGUCUCUCCCUCUCUAUGUAGGAUAAUGAUGAGGAUAUAUUGCCCUUGUUUGAGCCCCAUUUUGAGGGAAAAAAUGAAUUUUUGAAUAGUGUAUUGAUGGAAAAUGUGUGGUUAAAAAAUAAGGAAAAGUUUUGAAUUUGCGUGUAAUAUUAUCUUAUUGAAGAAUGUGUGGUUGAAAUGAUGUCAAAACACUGUAGAAGAAUUUAUUUUUUCUAAAGAAUGGGGAUCAAACAAGGGUAUUAUAAAGUAGAAACAUAGUGAGUGACACAUUUUGGCAGGCAAAUAUUGAAUUCCAUUAUCGUAAUUUAUACGGUAAAAAGGAAAAUUUUUAGGUAGAAACUCAAAACGAAGUUUUUUAAUGAUAGAAAAACCUUUUUGCUUUUGGGGCUCGACUUGUCUAGAUAGAGACUUCAAACGGUCUCCAUUUUAACAUUUUGUAUGGUGAACUAGGUCGAAAUAAGGCACUGUGCGACAUAUUGAACUGGCUUAUGUCAUGCCGUGCAAGCUUCUUAAUGAGUUACACAAAAUUGAUUCAAUUUUCUUAUAUUUAGAGUCUAAUUCAAUAUUUUCACCAAAACGGUUGAGGGAGCAAAAUGUACCAUGUGUUAUUUAUAUAUAUUAGAAAGAAGACAAGUGAUGAGUGCAAUAGCACCUCUAAAGCAUAGUUUUCGGUUUGUUCUUGGGCACUUUUGUGCGUUUUGAUGUGUUUGUUUAUGUUGUUCCGUAGUUUAGGUAACGUAGUGAAAACGACAUAUUUUGGAGCUUGGAAUGGAGCUAAAUUGUUGAUCAUGGAAGUGGGCAUGGAGUGAAGAUGAAAGAAGAGAAAAAUAAAGUGGAAAAGAGGCAAGAAAAUGAGGCCAAAUGCAAAGGAAUCAUAUAAGAGCUACAGCGCCGCACGUUGGUGCCUAGGCGCCCAAGAAACGGCCAGAAAAUCAACAGAAACCCCAUCUCGCCUUGAAACGUUAAGGGACUAUAAAAAUAACCUAAAGACCUACUUUUGGAGGAGGAUAUAGCUUAAGAGGCAAGGAAACAAGAGAUUGCUUGAGAGCAAUUGGGAAAAGAAUUCAAGCGCGAAACCAGUUUUUCUCAUUCAUUUCUUUUCCAUGUCCUUAAUAUUAGAUUGGAUUAUGCAUUUUCUCUUAUUCAUUAACUAAUUUCUAGAUCUAGGGUUUGAUGUAACCUAACUUGGAAUAUGU